GAUGAACGCUGGCGGCGUGCCUAAUACAUGCAAGUCGAGCGAACGGACGAGAAGCUUGCUUCUCUGAUGUUAGCGGCGGACGGGUGAGUAACACGUGGAUAACCUACCUAUAAGACUGGGAUAACUUCGGGAAACCGGAGCUAAUACCGGAUGAUAUUUUGAACCGCAUGGUUCAAAAGUGAAAGACGGUCUUGCUGUCACUUAUAGAUGGAUCCGCGCUGCAUUAGCUAGUUGGUAAGGUAACGGCUUACCAACGCAACGAUGCAUAGCCGACCUGAGAGCGUGAUCGGCCACACGGGAUCUGAGACACAGUCCAGACUCCUACGGGGGGCAGCAGUAGGGAAUCUUCCGCAAUGGGCGAAAGCCUGGCGGAGCAACGCCGCGUGAGUGAUGAAGGUCUUCGGAUCGUAAAACUCUGUUAUUAGGGAAGAACAUAUGUGUAAUUAACUGUGCACAUCUUGACGGUACCUAAUCAGAAAGCCACGGCUAACUACGUG
rnacentral:rRNA from 1 species